rnacentral:rRNA from 1 species
AAUUAAGCUACAAAGGGCAUACGGUGGAUGCCUUGGCAUCCGGAGCCGAUGAAGGACGUGAUAAGCUGCGAAAAGCCGCGUGGAGCUGCUAAAUAAGCUUAGAGUCGCGGAUAUCCGAAUGGGAGCCCCACCAGCGAGGAGCGCUGGUAUAUACAGUUGAAAGAAGUAGGCUGUAUAGGGAAACGGGGGGAAGUGAAACAUCUAAGUACCCCCAGGAACAGAAAUCAAAACGAGAUUCCCUCAGUAGCGGCGAGCGAAGGGGGAGUAGUCCAAACACAGCUGGGUUAGAAGGCUGCAGCCGUUCUCAGUUGUGUGUUUAGGAUCAAUCAUGCCAUUACUGCAGUGGUGGUCAGGCAGUAGGAGGUUUAGCCGAACGGAUCUGGAAAGUCCGACCGCAGCGGGUAAAAGUCCCGUAGGCGAAAAGCCGAAUACACCUGAGAUUGAUCCAGAAUACCACGGGACACGAGGAACCCUGUGGAAAGAUGGGAGGCCCACCUUCCAAGACUAAAUACUUCCGGAUGACCGAUAGUGAAAAGUACCGUGAGGGAAAGGUGAAAAGAACCCCGGGAGGGGAGUGAAAUAGAACCUGAAACCGUAGGCCUACGAGCAGUGGAAGGACGAUUGUAACGUCUGACCGCGUACUUUUUGUAUCACGGACCGGCGAGUUAUUGACUGCAGCGAUAGGUUAAGCCGUAAGGGGUGAAGCCGAAGCGAGAGCGAGUCUUAGAGUGGCGCAAGUUGCAGUUAAUAGACCCGAAGCCAGGUGACCUACCCAUGGUCAGGGUGAAGCAGGAGUAAGACCCUGUGGAGGCCCGCACCCGGUAGUGUUGAAAAACUAUGGGAUGAGCUGUGGGUAGGGGUGAAAGGCCAAUCGAACCUGGAGAUAGCUGGUACUCCCCGAAAUAGCUUUCGGGCUAGCCUUAAAGAUGUAGGGGGGUUGUAGAGCACUGAUUGGACUAGGGGCCCAACAAGGUUACCGAAUCCAUUCAAACUCCGAAUGCCCCUUUAUAGACUUUGGGAGUCAGACUAUGGGGGAUAAGCUUCAUAGUCGAGAGGGAAACAGCCCAGACCACCAGUUAAGGUCCCCAAGUACAGGCUAAGUGGAAAAGGAAGUGAGGUCGCGAAGACAACCAGGAUGUUGGCUUAGAAGCAGCCACUCAUUUAAAGAGUGCGUAAUAGCUCACUGGUCAAGCGGCUUUGCGCCGAAAAUGUAACGGGGCUAAAGCCUGUCACCGAAACUGUGGAUGUG